rnacentral:rRNA from 1 species
UACAGAGGUCUCAAGCGUUGUUCGGAUUCAUUGGGCGUAAAGGGUGCGUAGGCGGCGCGGUAAGUCGGGUGUGAAAUCUUGGAGCUUAACUCCGAAACUGCAUUCGAUACUGCGGUGCUUGAGGACUGGAGAGGAGACUGGAAUUCAUGGUGUAGCAGUGAAAUGCGUAGAGAUCAUGGGGAAGACCAGUGGCGAAGGCGGGUCUCUGGACAGUUCCUGACACUGAGACACGAAGGCCAGGGGAGCAAACGGG